CCCCGCCCAAGGGCCACAGACAAUUCUGCCAUAGUCUCCCUCAAGGAGCAAAGGCAGGCUGGACUCUCCCGAACAACUGCCUCCGAAGGUGGGCUACUUUGUCGGUCGCCAUCUGGAGCUUCCUUCGGUAGUCCUCUAUCUGCCCACUCCAGCCGACUCGGUAGGCGUUAUAGUUCACCUCAGCAUCCUGCAGCUGCUUC
rnacentral:lncRNA from 1 species